rnacentral:tRNA from 1 species
UCCCUGGUGGCUCAGCCGGUAAAAGAAUCCGCCUGCAAUGCGGGAGACCUGGGUUCGAUCCCUGGGUUGGGAA